rnacentral:rRNA from 1 species
AAUAUUGGACAAUGGGGGCAACCCUGAUCCAGCCAUGCCGCGUGUGUGAAGAAGGUCUUCGUAGUGUAAAGCACUGUAAGGUGGGAGGAAGGGCUUUAGGUUAAUACCCUGAAUUUGUGACGUUACCAACAGAAUAAGCACCGGCUACCUCUGUGCCAGCAGCCGCGGUAAUACAGGGGGUGCAAGCGUUAAUCGGAAUUACUGGGCGUAAAGCGCGCGUAGGUGGUUCAGUAAGAUGGGUGUGAAAUCCCCGGGCGUAACCUGGGAACUGCUUUCAUAACUGCUGAGCUAGAGUACGGUAGAGGGUAGUGGAAUUUCCUGUGUAGCGGUGAAAUGCGUAGAUAUAGGAAGGAACACCAGUGGCGAAGGCGACUACCUGGACUGAUACUGACACUGAGGUGCGAAAGCGUGGGGAGCAAAC